AUUGAACGCUGGCGGCAUGCCUUACACAUGCAAGUCGAACGGCAGCAUGAUCUAGCUUGCUAGAUUGAUGGCGAGUGGCGAACGGGUGAGUAAUACAUCGGAACAUGCCCUGUAGUGGGGGAUAACUAGUCGAAAGAUUAGCUAAUACCGCAUACGACCUGAGGGUGAAAGUGGGGGACCGCAAGGCCUCAUGCUAUAGGAGCGGCCGAUGUCUGAUUAGCUAGUUGGUGAGGUAAAGGCUCACCAAGGCGACGAUCAGUAGCUGGUCUGAGAGGACGAUCAGCCACACUGGGACUGAGACACGGCCCAGACUCCUACGGGAGGCAGCAGUGGGGAAUUUUGGACAAUGGGGGCAACCCUGAUCCAGCAAUGCCGCGUGUGUGAAGAAGGCCUUCGGGUUGUAAAGCACUUUCGUCCGGAAAGAAAUCGCACUUACUAAUAUUAGGUGUGGAUGACGGUACCGGAAGAAUAAGGACCGGCUAACUACGUGCCAGCCGCCGCGGUAAGAC
rnacentral:rRNA from 1 species